GGAAAGAUAGGCGCAGAGAUGUGAUCCAUUUGUUCUUCUGCAUUGGCCUGGUUUGGAUCAACUGUCUUUUGGCUUCUCCCCUACUGGCAAUUCCCCCUGGCAUGAUAUAACCUGUAUUUAAGAGGUGGAACCUGCAUAUUAUUUUUCUUCUUCCAUUCCCUUCCCCUUUCCUUUUUGUGGCAUUAUUUGUUGUAUUUUAAACCAUCAUUUUCUUUUGGACUCCACCUGAGCCCAUUGACAGAAAGAUGGUAUCUAAAUAUAGCAACUAAGUAAAUUUUACAGGGUCUACCAAUAAAGUCUCCUGUGUCAAAUUGGAAGUUUUGGUGCAGAUACUGUGCUGUACUGAAGGUUGUUUUCUGUGCUCAGAUAAUAAGAAUUGUCAUCUUUCCUGAAACUCUCAUCAAUUUUCCUAGAAGGCUCCCAUUUUGAAGUAUAUGGUGGGAUUUCUAGGAGUGUGGGGAGAAUAUUUUAUUUUUGUUGUCUAUGGUAACCAAGUGGAGGUUUCCAGUCACUGUUGGAUCUGGAAAGGUUUGAGCAGCAGGUUUGUAACUCAUUUUGAGUCAUGUACUGUGCAGCUAACAUGCAAUCUCUAACUUGGCUGUAGGUAAUUGGUUUAUCAAGAGUAAUUACAAGCUGACACAGAAAUGUAUAUGUGCAGAAAUGUAUAUGUUGCAUACCUGUAGGAUUGCUAUGCAUUACAGUUCCAUGUGUGCAAAUUAACUGAAGGGACUAGUCAUUCCCUGUCAAGGCACGUACACAAAAUGGUUCGCACAUGUCUGACUAGCUCAUAUUCACAGGAUAUGCCUGUGUGUACACAUGUGCAUGUGUGGAGAGGUUUGGUUGAUUCUUUAUGCUGAUUCUGGUUAGCCAAAUUGUAAUUUUCUUUCUCCUCUCCCUCCACCCGCUAAAUUCAGUUUGCAUAUUUACUGGAGUGAAGCUCGCUUUGUUGUCGUGUGUCGCAAGAACUCCAUAAAAUAACACCAAUGGAGAAAAAUCAAUCUACUGGGUCUGGAAAAUGGAUUUUGUGCCUUAACUGGCAAACGUUAACAACUACUUUGUCGAGAACUAGAGAAGCUAAGCAUUUAUCAAAUCAAACUGCUAUAACUGUUGUGCUCCUCUGUCCUCAAAUAAAAGCUGCACUGCUUUGAUGGCUCAGACUGAAGUGCCUACAGGAAGCAGAAAGAAUCCUUGAAAUCAUGAGCCCAACAGUAUCCUGGGGGACUCCUUGAUGGACCAGAGUGUAAUUGGAAUCAUGUGAAGCAUACAUCGCAAAAUGUUUCCAAUUUCACAAACAAACUGAGCACCGCACAAAUACUCUACAGGAACCAAGAUCUUACCAGACUCUCCAAUCAGGGUAAAAAGUACUCCUGGUUCAGUGUUGCUUGAUGACACUACUUACUAAAGCUAGUGGUAGCCUCCUGCAGAAAGGGAUUGCAGAUAUUCAGUGCUCCAACCCUGCCUGAACCAAGCCUACAACUGUGAAUCCCAUUUAAUUAGAUUUUCCUCACCUCUCGUAAAGGCUUAGGGCAUGUUAUAAUCUGUAUAUUCUUAGAGCUUCAUGACCAAGCAGGGUUUUGAGCAACAACAUACCUUUCCAGCAUCUACAUCCCAUGUUUUAGACACCUAACCCUACAAGCUGUCACUGUGGUAUUUACAAUAUUCAUUUGUUCCUGCUUAUACCACACUCACUGAGCACAAUCUUUUAUUGUUUCUGUACAACCAUCUUCUGAAAUGACUGACCAUUAGGUCUAGUGAUUCCUGUGCAAAUUGGGCAUAUUAAAGUAUGCUUAACGGUUUCCCCUGCUGACAGUGCAUUAAUCACCAGACGGUUUUAUACUGAGUAAUGCAAAUGCAUUCAAUGUAGCUUAAAAAUAAAAGAUGAAGUUUGCACAAUGCAGCUCAUAAAUGCGGUGCAUAUAGUUUCGAAACUAUUGAAAAAUGCUAAACUGUUGUUUUUGUUUCAGUGCCUUCCUAAGGCUUUACAAGGGACUGAGGAAAACUUAGGGGGGGUUCAGACAAUUCUUUUUGCUGUUGUUGUUGUUUAGCUGUCUAGUCGUGUCUGACUCUUCGUGACCCCAUGGACCAGAGCAUGCCAGGCACUCCUGUCUUCCACUGCCUCCCACAGUUUGGUCAAACUCAGGCUGGUAGCUUCGAGAACACUGUCCAACCAUCUCGUCCUCUGUCGUCCCCUUCUCCUUGUGCCCUCCAUCUUUCCCAACAUCAGGGUCUUUCCCAAGGAGUCUUCUCUUCUCAUGUUUUGCUGGUUUCCCUUUAAUAUCAUUUGAUACCAUUGAGCUCUUCCCUACCACACCCUUAGGUGCUUUGGAGAAAAAAAUCCCUUAAGAGUUCUCAGUAACCUGGAACUUCGCCACCCCACAUUUCUGCCUCUUCCUGUAAUCAGCAUGAUGCCCAAACCCUUAGGAGGAUCUUGUGUUCUGCCUCUGGCCUUUUGCUCCAAGUCCAUUCCUGUCAUCAGGAUCUAUUAAUCUCUGGUUGGUGCAGUAGCAGCUGGUGUAGUGGUACAGGAGGGGAACUGCUGCUGUCCUGGGUUUCAAACACAACAUGCCAUUGCACUGGUGGUUACUGGAGGAGGAAGGCACAGGAACUUGGUGCAUUGUGGUAUGGUUGAGCCAAUCUUCCACUCUUGCAGUUAUGUGCCUGCACAGCUCAGAGUUCCCCAUACCACACCCUUCUUCCUCCGGUAAGUGCUAGUGGCACUCUGUGUUUGGAAGCUGGGAAAGCAACAGUAUUCCAGCUAUGCUGCCAAACCAACCACUUCUGGUUCAGUAAUCGUAGAGUUCCAGAUUUAAGGACCUUCCAUUGAUGUGUGUGGGAAUGUUCAGGGAGGCAGGAGACGAUAUAUUGUUUAAUUAUAUCCUUCCCAACUUGUGUUCUACAAUUUAGCAGAGUAACAUUCCCCUUUUUAAACUUUCACAGCGGAUAACGUCUUUGCCAGGCUUGCAUAAGCCUCUAAAAUAAGUUUCCUGGUAAAUCCCCUUUAUUCCCUCUUAAAUGAAUAGACACAACACUGCCUUAUAUAAAUCUAUAAAAUAGUUUACUCACAUACAUUCUGUUCACAGAUGGGUCCCAGAAGGCAGACUUAAGUUACAAGAUAUAUACACCUGGAAUCUAUCCCAUAAGGUGAUAGUUCCUUUGUCCUCUCUUGGCUGGAAGCCAAGAGAGCAUCUCAGGCUAAGGAGAUGUUGCUUCUACGAGGAAUUGAGUCCGAGAGAGAGAGAUGGCUGUCUCCCCUGUGCUAUUUUGUUACCUGCCCAGGUGGGGUGACACCCACCUCUGGUCACAUGUAGAGGAAGUUUGUCCCAGCCCAGGAGGAAACAGGAAGUUCCAACUGGCUGGUCCAGACACCCCCUUUUUAUGUCCACUCUAGGAAUGUUGUAUUUGACUGCUCUGUGUUUCACACCCCACAAUGUGCACUGCCCAGAUUGCCUAUCCCUGCUCACAGCUAUUAUCACCUCAUAAUUGCCAUUGGGACUAUCUGAUGGUGUUGGAGACAAAAUUCUGUGUUCAUUUUAGUGUAUUGCUUAGAAAUUCUUGGAACAGGAUGAUUUUUAGGGUCUCAUAAACCCCAGGACCUUCAGAAGCAAGACACUGAGACAAAUGAUCCCCUCUCCUUCAAAUCUCUUGCAAAAGCAACAUAUAUCUUGUAACCCAAAGUCAUUUAUUGUACUUAGUGACAAGAUUGAGAUGUGUAGGUAGCCGUAUUUCUGUAUUUGAAUUUCUGAUUACACAGUUAAAGCUUAAGGUUUGCUAAAUAAACAGAUGCAUUUUGCUGAUACGUGCCUUCUGAAAUUUAAAACGGUGACUAGAAUAUUUUUGCCUGUUAACCUUCUUUUAAAAAACCACGCAGGUUCAGGAGUUUCCGAAAGAGAGGCAGUAAUUGGUCCCCUAAUAUUAAACACCAGAGACGCUGAAAACACAAUUGCUCUUUUAAUGACGGCAUAUUGAGGUUGUACAGAAGUAAUUCAUCCCAGCUGGUAUGGGUUAAGCAACUUGCUAACCUUCACAUAUAUUUUAGUGGCCCAUGAGGGGGAAGUGGACAAAAUCGCUGCUUCACUCCUCCUUGAAGGAGUGGAGGCAGAGAUAUUUGAAUAGUGAAAGCAUGCCAUCCUUCCUGAGCCACAUACGUACUGGAUUAUUAUUAGUAUUAUUUUUUAAAAAGCUUGAUGUACGUAUCUGAUUUCUUGUUUUUAAACAUCCAUCCACCACUGGUUAUUCAAGUGCUAUCUUCCCCUCUUACCUUCGUUCCAUGUCUAAAAUGUGGAUGCAAAGGGCUGCUGCUGCAUGACAUCACAAUGGCCUGUGGUGUUGGCUCUGUGCUGCCAGCUGAUCCCAGGCAUUGUGCCCCAGCAGCAUUUGCAAGCGCUACUGCAUUGCAGAUUGUCAGAGGGGUAGCCGAGUUAGUCUGUUGCAGCAAAAAGAACAAAGUGCCUUGUGGCUACUUAGAAAAACGCCAACACAUAAUAGUUUGGCAUUUGCUUUCAUGGACUAGAGCCUACUUCAUCAGGUGCAUUGAGUGUGAUCUUUAGUUGUCAGGUAUGCAUGGGUAUAGUGAAAAAUGGAAAGGUUGGAGUGAAAUGAUAAUGGAGUAAAAAAGUAAGAUGCUGCAAGGUUCCCCAGUGCUUUUUAUCUCACACCUUUUUUAAAAAAUGUGCCUUUUGGCAGAGAGGGUCAAGAGAGGGCAGAGAGGAGGAGAAGCAGAACUUGACGUAGCAUGGUUUUAUGCCAUUCCUAUGCUAUUUGGUUACUGCAGUGUUAAUCAAGCGCUUGAGCAUAUGCCUUAGUCCUUUAGCAUCAUUCUACCUGUGAUUGUCCUGCAAGGUUGAGGCUGUAACAAGCACAACAAAGGAAGCAAAUCAUGGCAUGCACUGGCUGUCCUCAUUAAGAACAUAAGAAGAGCCUGCUGGAUCAAGCAAACAAGCUAUUAAGCAGAGGCAGAUUUGGGGGAGUGCAACGAGUUUGGUUGCGCUGGGCGUGGAGCGUGCAGCUAUUAUUUAGAAUGGAGUGCGAGAGGCAGCAAAUUUUGGCACCACACAGGAUGCUGCUGAAAUUUGAGAAGCCAGGGUCUGCCACUGUAUCAAGUUCAGCAUCCCACAAAUAGGACCUGAGCCCCAAAGCAUUUUCCCUGCCUGUGGUUUCCAGCAACUGAUAUUCAGAAGCAUCACUUACUCUGUCCAUGGAGGCAGAGCAUAGCCAUCAUGGCUAGCAGCCAUUGAUAGUGUUCUCACCCAUGGAUAAAUAAUGAAUUGAUAUUAAUGAAUGAAUUAAUAGGGCAUGUGGCUGGAAGGAACUAUUAUCUGUUUCAUUUGUAUACCUCUUUAUACUUUUUUGGACGCGGGUGGCGCUGUGGGUUAAACCACAGAGCCUAGGACUUGCCGAUCAGAAGGUUGGCGGUUCGAAUCCCAGCAGUGGGGUGAGCUCCCAUUGCUCGGUCCCUGCUCCUGCCAACCUAGCAGUUCGAAAGCACAUCAAAGUGCAAGUAGAUAAAUAGGUACCGCUCUGGCGGGAAGGUAAACGGCGUUUCCGUGCGCGGCUCUGGUUCACCAGAAGCGGCUUAGUCAUGCCGGCCCACAUGACCUGGAAGCUGUACGCUGGCUCCCUCGGCCAAUAAAGUGAAAUGAGCGUCGCAGCCCCAGAGUCUGCCAUGACUGGACCUAAUGGUCAGGGGCCCCUUUACCUUUACUUUAUACUUUUAAGAGAAAAAAACCUCAAAGCGAUUUACAACCCACAUUUAAACCUCAGAUAAAACAUUCCAAAAUGAAACAUUAC